GACGUAGGGGGGCGAGCGUUUGUCCGGAUUUAUUGGGCGUAAAGCGCGCGUAGGCGGUCCGGUAAGUCGGGUGUGAAAAUCCGGGGCUCAACCCCGGACCUGCAUUCGAUACUGCCGGGCUGGAGGCAGGUAGGGGAGAGUGGAAUUCCUGGUGUAGCGGUGAAAUGCGCAGAUAUCAGGAGGAACACCGGUGGCGAAGGCGG
rnacentral:rRNA from 1 species